rnacentral:tmRNA from 1 species
GCGGGUUGAAAGUCGGUACGUUGCCGCCCAUAUUCAUGAUGUCUCGAAAGGGACUAUGGACAUAAACGCGCAUGUAAUAAGCGGAUCGGACCCGGGGGCGGUACCCGGCGGCUCCACCAAAAUCACCUUCAUUGGGGUGCAUGGGGCCGAAAUAGGAUCGACGGACGUCUAAAGAUGUUGCUUUGUCUCGGUGAGGUACCACCGUUAUCGGUCCGGAAAAGUACAAUUGCCAAUGACAAUCGUGCUCCGGUCGCCGUUGCUGCGUAAGCAGUAACAA